GUUUCAAUGUCAGAAACGCUACUUCUUCCUUUAACUCGUGCAUUCUCCAAAACCCAUUUCACCACCCCACACCACCUCCUCAAAACCACCUCUGCUCGCUCCGCCGCCCGAUUCCGCCACCGCCAUAAGCAAGUUCCACUUCCUCUUUCCUCUGGUAGCGACUAUACUCUUUCCUUCACUCUCGGCUCCCCUCCUUCCCCGCCUAUUUCCCUUUACCUUGACACAGGCAGCGACGUUGUUUGGCUUCCUUGUUCUCCAUUUGAAUGCAUCCUCUGCGAAUCAAAAGCACCACCACUCUCUCCUCCACUUAACCUUUCCGCCUCAGCCACUGCUGUCCCAUGCAAAUCCUCCGCCUGCUCAGCUGCUCACUCUUCCCUCCCUUCCUCUGACCUUUGCGCCAUGGCACGUUGUCCCCUCGACGCCAUCGAAACCUCCGACUGCAACUCCUUCCCUUGCCCUCCUUUCUACUAUGCCUACGGUGACGGCAGCUUAACCGCCCUUCUCUAUAAAGACUCUUUAACUCUCCCAAACUCUCUCUCUGUUCAAAACUUUACUUUUGGUUGCGCCCACACCACCUUGG
rnacentral:lncRNA from 1 species